rnacentral:rRNA from 1 species
UGGGGAAUAUUGCACAAUGGGCGCAAGCCUGAUGCAGCCAUGCCGCGUGUGUGAAGAAGGCCUUCGGGUUGUAAAGCACUUUCAGCGAGGAGGAAGGUGGUGAGCUUAAUACGCUCAUCAAUUGACGUUACUCGCAGAAGAAGCACCGGCUAACUCCGUGCCAGCAGCCGCGGUAAUACGGAGGGUGCAAGCGUUAAUCGGAAUUACUGGGCGUAAAGCGCACGCAGGCGGUUUGUUAAGUCAGAUGUGAAAUCCCCGGGCUCAACCUGGGAACUGCAUUUGAAACUGGCAAGCUAGAGUCUCGUAGAGGGGGGUAGAAUUCCAGGUGUAGCGGUGAAAUGCGUAGAGAUCUGGAGGAAUACCGGUGGCGAAGGCGGCCCCCUGGACGAAGACUGACGCUCAGGUGCGAAAGCGUGGGGAGCAAAACAGGAUUAGAUACCCUGGUAGUCCACGCUGUAAACGAUGUCGAUUUUGGAGGUUGUGCCCUUGAGGCGUGGCUUCCGGAGCUAACGCGUUAAAUCGACCGCCUGGGGAGUACGGCCGCAAGGUUAAAACUUAAAUGAAUUGACGGGGUCAUAGCUGUUUCCU